UGGGGUGUCGCCAAAUGGUCAAGGCACCGGUCUCUGACACCGGCAUUUGUUGGUUCAAGUCCAGCCACCCCAG
rnacentral:tRNA from 1 species